UACCAGCACCCCGAGUGGUCGGGACGUUUUAUUGGGCCUAAAGCAUCCGUAGCCGGUUCUACAAGUCUUCCGUUAAAUCCACCUGCUUAACAGAUGGGCUGCGGAAGAUACUAUAGAGCUAGGAGGCGGGAGAGGCAAGCGGUACUCGAUGGGUAGGGGUAAAAUCCGUUGAUCCAUUGAAGACCACCAGUGGCGAAGGCGGCUUGCCAGAACGCGCUCGACGGUGAGGGAUGAAAGCGGGGGAGCAAACCGGGAUUAAGAAACCCCGGGGUAGU
rnacentral:rRNA from 1 species